AUUGAACGCUCGCGGGAUGCUUUACACAUGCAAGUCGAACGGCAGCGCGGACUUCGGUCUGGCGGCGAGUGGCGAACGGGUGAGUAAUGUAUCGGAACGUGCCCAGUAGCGGGGGAUAACUACGCGAAAGCGUAGCUAAUACCGCAUACGCCCUACGGGGGAAAGCAGGGGAUCGUAAGACCUUGCACUAUUGGAGCGGCCGAUAUCGGAUUAGCUAGUUGGUGAGGUAACGGCUCACCAAGGCGACGAUCCGUAGCCGGUUUGAGAGGACGACCAGCCACACUGGGACUGAGACACGGCCCAGACUCCUACGGGAGGAAGCAGUGGGGAAUUUUGGACAAUGGGGGCAACCCUGAUCCAGCCAUCCCGCGUGUGCGAUGAAGGCCUUCGGGUUGUAAAGCACUUUUGGCAGGAAAGAAACGUCGCGGGCUAAUACCCCGUGGAACUGACGGUACCUGCAGAAUAAGCACCGGCUAACUACGUG
rnacentral:rRNA from 1 species